rnacentral:rRNA from 1 species
UCAGAUUGAACGCUGGCGGCAGGCCUAACACAUGCAAGUCGAACGGUAACAGGAAGAAGCUUGCUCUUGCUGACGAGUGGCGGACGGGUGAGUAAUGUCUGGGAAACUGCCUGAUGGAGGGGGAUAACUACUGGAAACGGUAGCUAAUACCGCAUAACGUCGCAAGACCAAAGAGGGGGACCUUCGGGCCUCUUGCCAUCGGAUGUGCCCAGAUGGGAUUAGCUUGUUGGUGGGGUAACGGCUCACCAAGGCGACGAUCCCUAGCUGGUCUGAGAGGAUGACCAGCCACACUGGAACUGAGACACGGUCCAGACUCCUACGGGAGGCAGCAGUGGGAAUAUUGCACAAUGGGCGCAAGCCUGAUGCAGCCAUGCCGCGUGUAUGAAGAAGGCCUUCGGGUUGUAAAGUACUUUCAGCGGGGAGGAAGGGAGUAAAGUUAAUACCUUUGCUCAUUGACGUUACCCGCAGAAGAAGCACCGGCUAACUCCGUGCCAGCCGCUGC